GGGCGAGUGGUGAAAUUGGCAGACACGUAAGAUUUAGGAUCUUAUGCCGUAAGGUGUGUGGGUUCAAGUCCCUCCUCGCCCA
rnacentral:tRNA from 1 species